GUCCAGAGAAGGGCAAGAAAGCGCAUGAAAGCUGUAGAGAGCACAUCUUAUGUUUGAGGGAGCUGGGGUUGUUCAGUCUCAGGAGAAGGUUCAGGGAGAUCCUCAUCACUCUCUACAACUCCCUCAAGGAAGGACCGACUGCUCUUGACUUCUCUGCAUCUCAGAGCCUAAAGGGAAGCACAAGAUAUUCCAUGGAAAGCGGCAGGACUAGGCAGAAACACAGGAAAGAUCCUGAGAGAUGUUACAGGUCAGAUAUAUUUUCUUUAAAUAAACCCACUGCACCUCCACAGGGUACUGGGUUAUUACACCAGGGCCAGACAGGAACACAGCCAGGGUGGGUGAAGCCAGCACAUGGCACCGUCUAUAAUCCCAGUGUAAUCUUCCACACACCCUGCAAACAUGCACCAAGCACCCAUUGUCCUCCCAGCCCUUACCACUGUGAAGGUUCAAGCGGCAGUGUCACUUCUGCAUCCUUGCAGAGAGGGGAAGGCACAAUCUUUGCACACCUACACACAGCACAGGCAGGAGAGGCUCAGUUACCUCAGCCAGUUGUGAUCACACAGAAGGAGAAGGCAGCCAGGCACUGAAAGCACUGCCACCUUCCACCACUCACCCAGGAUGUGUACAUGGAAUUAGGAGACAGAGGAAUAGGUUACCUGGCUGGAAGGCACCCUAUUGCACCUUCCCUCUACCUCAGAGGAAAAUACACCACACUUUAAAAGAACAGUUUGGGUGGGAUGUUCUUCCAUACCACAAUACAACUGAUGCCCGUGUUACCUGCAUUGAAAAAGACGAGUAAGAAAAGCAGCAGAGGUGACAGAAAAAAACAAGUGGUGUCAGGUGUUCAUUCACUAUUUACAUAACGUGGCCUAGAUGUGUUUAACUGUGUGGAAUCCUGCUCCUGUGCAUCAGCAAAAACUGGUCACACAGGACACAAGGAAGGGGGGGAGGUCAGAGGAUGCCCAAAACUGUGACAGACAAAUAACAAAGAGAAAGAACGUUUUUCUGUUGAAUAUUUUAUUUUUGCAUUGCCUUCAUAGCGCAAUUAAAGCAAUCUUUAAAAUUCACUUAUUACAAAUGUUUGUCAAGUCUGUUUUUCCCCAGAAACACUUUUCUUGCUUCCUUGCACAUACGCCCAAACACACUAUAAAAACCCCAUUCAUAACAUGAAAGAAGGGCAAACAUCAGUCAUGUAAACAUCUUUCUUAGAGUUAUCCAGUUUUAAAAGUCAUGAAUAAACUUACAGGUGUUCAGUAAGGCUCAUAGUUCGAGUACAAAUGUCAUAAAACACCUAUCAAGUACUGUACACAAGUUGAAUACUCCGGGGUUAACUGUUACCACAUGUAUAAGCUCACCCCAAAGAUUAUUCUUUAGCACUUAGUUCUUCAGAACAGAGACACCCAGUAAUUAUGGGCUAAAGAGUAUUAAAAUAGCAGAAGGCCCAGCAGAAACUGUUAAGUAAUACACAAUUUUAGUCUGGUUCUUAGCUCAGAGUUAAGCUUGUUACAGCUGCAGUAGGAAAAGUUUUCUAGAAGGGGAUCUACAGGAAGGAGGGAGGGGUUGUUUGCAUGGUAUCAGGAAGGGAAGCUGAGAGGUACGUCUUGAAAACGUGACUAGCCUUGCUACUGCAAUUAUUUAUGGCAGCUGCAUGUAAUGCUGCAUAAAUACUUCCCCAAAUAGCAGAAAUGACCAUUUGUAAUUUUAAGGAUCAUUUGUUGCA